UUCUCUCUUAUUCUUUUGUUAAUAGGCUAGUUUCACAACACGUUAUCAGCACGAUUUCGUUCGUUGUUUUCCUUAUAUCGUUUCUUUUUAGUCUGCAAAUCCCUCUUGGGUUUUGUUGCUUCAUGACAACAGAAAACAUUGGGACAUUGGCCACCGACAUCACAAACUAGUUGCAUUAGCAUUGCACUGCUUCCGUGACCUCACACGAUUGUUUCAAUCGGCAAAGAUAUCCUGACAUCCCUGUUUCGAUGCGCAACCACGACUAUCUUACGAAAUCAGUCAAUGUGUGGGGGAGAUGUAAACAAAAACUCUUUAAUGUUGGGUUGAAGAACAAAGGGUUGGACUUUGUUUAAAUUAAAUUUUCCUAUA